rfam:Actinobacterium acMicro-4 AMD-COM-C18, whole genome shotgun sequence.
UCCUGGGGCUGGAGUAGGUCCCAAGGGUUGGGCUGUUCGCCCAUUAAAGCGGUACGCGAGCUGGGUUUAGAACGUCGUGAGACAGUUCGGUCCCUAUCCGCUGCGCGCGUUGGAAAUUUGAGAGGAUCUGACCCUAGUACGAGAGGACCGGGUUGGACGAACCUCUGGUGUGUCAGUUGUCCUGCCAAGGGCACCGCUGAUUAGCUACGUUCGGGAUGGAUAACCGCUGAAAGCAUCUAAGCGGGAAGCCGGCCUCAAGAUGAGAUUUCCAUGCCCUUCGGGGCGAGAGGCUCCCAGUAGACGACUGGGUUGAUAGGCCGGAUGUGGAAGUGGGGACUAAAGACCCAUGCAGCUGACCGGUACUAAUAAGCCGAUAACUUGACACC